AGCUCCUCAGCUAGGGCUGGGGGAUUGUG
rnacentral:piRNA from 1 species